AUAUAGAAAGCAAUCUCUCAAGCAAUUCAGUUUCGACCUGUUUAAUAUGGUAAAUAUACCUCUAUAUU
rnacentral:tRNA from 1 species